rnacentral:piRNA from 1 species
UGAUGCUGGGAUGUAAAGGAGAGCAUCUCUU